rnacentral:rRNA from 1 species
UACGAAGGGGGCUAGCGUUGUUCGGAUUUACUGGGCGUAAAGCGCACGUAGGCGGAUCGUUAAGUCGGGGGUGAAAUCCUGGAGCUCAACUCCAGAACUGCCUUCGAUACUGGCGAUCUUGAGUCCGGAAGAGGUGAGUGGAAUUCCUAGUGUAGAGGUGGAAUUCGUAGAUAUUUAGGAAGAACACCAGUGGCGAAGGCGGCUCACUGGUCCGAUACUGACGCUGAGGAGCGAAAGCGUGGGGAGCGAACAGG